AGCGAGCGCUGGCGGCAGGCUUAACACAUGCAAGUCGAGCGGGCAUCCUUGUGGUGUCAGCGGCAGACGGGUGAGUAACGCGUGGGAACGUGCCCUUCGGUUCGGAAUAACUCAGGGAAACUUGAGCUAAUACCGGAUACGUGCGAGAGCAGAAAGGUUUAUCUGCCGAAGGAUCGGCCCGCGUCUGAUUAGCUAGUUGGUGAGGUUAUGGCUCACCAAGGCGACGAUCAGUAGCUGGUCUGAGAGGAUGAUCAGCCACACUGGGACUGAGACACGGCCCAGACUCCUACGGGAGGCAGCAGUGGGGAAUAUUGGACAAUGGGGGCAACCCUGAUCCAGCCAUGCCGCGUGAGUGAUGACGGCCUUAGGGUUGUAAAGCUCUUUUCUCCGGGACGAUAAUGACGGUACCGGAGGAAUAAGCCCCGGCUAACUUCGUG
rnacentral:rRNA from 1 species